CACCCCCUGGGUGUCAGCACACCCCGCCCCGGCACCCCUGUGGAUCAGCUACUGUGGGUCACUGAGCGCAUGGGCUGCCACGGGGACCCGCACCCCUAAAGACACACAGAGCCCAAGGAGCGGUGGCCCUGUUAUCUGCCCAGUGAGCUCAUCACGCGAUUGCCUGCCUCGGACAAGGAAGCACCUGAGAGGUGGGAACCGAGGCUCAGAGAGGGAAACGGGCUUGCCUCACAUCAUCCAGGGCAGCAGAGGCAGAGCUGGGACCAGACUCACUUCCCGAUGCAAAGUGCAGAGCACCAUUUCCACUGCCCCACGAACCUGAAGGCAAACAUUCCCCACCCCAGUAACUGGAAGGCUACUACGUGUACCAGAGGAUGGCUGAUGUCUCUUGAGGCCGAGUUGGGAGCAGAACGAACCUACUUACAUGGUCCUUCCAUCCGAUCCAAUUCAG